UCAACGAGUUCACACCUUGGC
rnacentral:siRNA from 1 species